AGGCUUUGGAGAGGCGGCCUCCUCUUGUGGCAGGAGAAUGCUCUGCUGCCUUCAGCAGCAAGGCGAGAGCUGCCUUGGAAGCCUCCCAAUGGGUCUGUGUUACAUUGCAGAGACUGCCUACGAUAGAUCUCUCCAUCUCCGGCACACCUGCUGCCCUGGGGACCCGGCCUAGCCCUCUGCAUGUGUUCCCGAGGUGAGUGCCUUUCCUUUGCAGCCCUUGGCUAACCGAGCAGGCGGCUUCCCGGCUGCUGCUCGGCACCGUGCACCGCCAGGGCUUGACACUCAGCAUGGAGUUGGGAAUAACUCACACAGUGACUGGUUCCCGCUUCACUAAAGCUCACUUUGGGCUUCUCACACGUGUCUUUGCCUGGAGUGAGCGGGAACCGUGACUGCGUUUCUCAUGCCCAGCCUGCCCUCCUUCCCAUCAGAGAGCAGGGACUGCACACAGAGAGGCAUUUAGGCUACGCCUUCUGUCUUUUGGGGGAGAGUGCCAAAAACCAGCUCCCAAAGAGCUGUGCACGGACACAGAGGAGGGGGGAUGCAAGAAGGACUCCGGCAGCAGUGAGGAGGAUCCGUGUCCGCAAGCUGCAAAGGGGAGACAAUGCCCUUCCUUCAAAGCUGGCUUGUCUUUUGGUUUCCAGGUUUCAGCUUGCUGUGCAAGGCAGCGUGGAGGCCCAGGCUGCCCCCACCGGCUGCCCACAGGGGAAGGAGCAGGAGCUGGAAGAAGAGCUUGGGGCCGUCAGGAGCAGCAAAGAGAGGCGUCCUGGCAAGCUCCUGCCGCACCGCGAGGAGCUUUCUCUCCCCGUGCUGCCAAAGUGGGGGGAAGGCGCGAGGCGGCAAGGCAUGGAGAGCAAGCCUGCUGCCAGGACCCUUGUGAACCAGACGGCCCCCAUCCCGGGCACCUCCCCGGGGAAGCAGGUUGGCGUGCAACAC